CAGCAGCCGCGGGAAUACGUAGGUGGCAAGCGUUGUCCGGAAUUAUUGGGCGUAAAGGGCUCGCAGGCGGUUUCUUAAGUCUGAUGUGAAAGCCCCCGGCUCAACCGGGGAGGGUCAUUGGAAACUGGGAAACUUGAGUGCAGAAGAGGAGAGUGGAAUUCCACGUGUAGCGGCGAAAUGCGUAGAGAUGUGGAGGAACACCAGUGGCGAAGGCGACUCUCUGGUCUGUAACUGACGCUGAGGAGCGAAAGCGUGGGGAGCGAACAGGAUUAGAUACCCCCGUAGUCCCUGUCUCUUAUAC
rnacentral:rRNA from 1 species